rnacentral:rRNA from 1 species
GCAUAUCAAUAAGCGGAGGAAAAGAAACUAACAAGGAUUCCCCUAGUAGCGGCGAGCGAAGCGGGAAGAGCUCAAAUUUAUAAUCUGGCACCUUCGGUGUCCGAGUUGUAAUCUCUAGAAAUGUUUUCCGCGUUGGACCGCACACAAGUCUGUUGGAAUACAGCGGCAUAGUGGUGAGACCCCCGUAUAUGGUGCGGACGCCCAGCGCUUUGUGAUACAUUUUCGAAGAGUCGAGUUGUUUGGGAAAUGCAGCUCAAAUUGGGUGGUAAAUUCCAUCUAAAGCUAAAUAUUGGCGAGAGACCGAUAGCGAACAAGUACCGUGAGGGAAAGAUGAAAAGCACUUUGGAAAGAGAGUUAACAGUACGUGAAAUUGUUGGAAGGGAAACGCUUGAAGUCAGACUUGCUUGCCGAGCAAUCGGUUUGCAGGCCAGCAUCAGUUUUCCGGGAUGGAUAAUGGUAGAGAGAAGGUAGCAGUUUCGGCUGUGUUAUAGCUCUCUGCUGGAUACAUCUUGGGGGACUGAGGAACGCAGUGUGCCUUUGGCGGGGGUUUCGACCUCUUCACACUUAGGAUGCUGGUGGAAUGGCUUUAAACGACCCGUCUUGAAACACGGACC